rnacentral:tRNA from 1 species
GCGGGCGUAACUCAGCUGGUAGAGUGUCAGCUUCCCAAGCUGAAUGUCGUGGGUUCGAGUCCCAUCGCCCGCUCCA